rnacentral:lncRNA from 1 species
UGUAGUCCCAGUAAUUUGGGAGGAUGAGACAAGAGGAUUGCAAGUUUGAGGCCAUCCUGGGCCACUUAGUGAGAGUGUCUCAAAAUAAACAGGGCUGGGGAUGUAGUUCAGUGGUAGACCUCUCCUAGGUUUAAUCCCCACCCCUUCAAAAAAAUCUUUUGUUUUGAACUAAUAUUAGGCUUCUAUAUAAUAGCUUUGAUAAGAUCUUCAUGGUAGAGAUAAAUGUUAGAUUGCUUAUAGAGUAAGUGGGUAUAGUUGGUGAAAGAGAGCAGACAGUUCUUUUAAAAAUCCUUUGCAAUGGCUAGAUAGGGUAGUGCAGGCCUGUAAUCCCAGUAGCUCAGGAGGCUGAAACAGGAGGAUCACAAGUUCAAAAUCCACGUUGGCAACUUAGUGAGGCCUUAUGCAACUUAGUGAGCCUCUGUCUCAAAAUAAAGUAAAAAAUAAUAAUAAUAAUAAUACUAUGGGCUGGGAAUAUGUCUCAGUGGUUAAGCCCCUCUGGAUUUAAUACCUGGUACCAAGAAAAUUAAAUCAAAAAUAAAAAAGUUUUGCUAGGAAAAAUGGUAGGGAUACAGGAUAGUAGAUAGAGGAGCAUGUUGAAUCUAGGUAAGACUCCAGCAUAUUUAUAUGGUAUAUGGAAAAGUUCAUUAGAAUUUGAAGAUUAAGUAAAAAGGAAAUGAGUGUUAUUGGACAUUGUCCUUAAGAUUAGCAGGAAUGGAGUGAAGAUACUGGGUUCUAGGAAGAAUAAGAAUAUAGUUUCUGCUGAAGUAGGAGUAAGGAAGAAGGGAUAUUACAGAUGGGGAAGUGUAUGGAUGGUAGGUGAGGAAUUUGGGGAAUCGACAUUUGAUGUAUUUUUUUUUUCAGUGAGGUAAGAAAAAAACCUGCUGAGAUUGAUUAUAGGGGAGCAAGAUGGUGAUUUCAGGGGAGACAUUGAGAAGAAAAGGAGUGUUUUGAGAAGGCUAUUAAGGAAAUAAGAAGGUGAACUGAAUUAGAGUACUUAGAAGUACUUCAUUGUUCUGGUAUAUAUAGUUAUGUGAAAGAUUUUCUUCCCCUUUUCUCAGGAGUUAGCAACCUAAGUGAGCAAACAAGUUAAACAACUGGGUCAGUCUAGUUUGAAUUUUAUGGGCUAAUCUGACACAGUGGUUAAGGAGACAAGAGGUUAAAUCAUGAGAGUGAAGUGAUGGACCUUUGAGUCUAGGCUGAAUAGGGAAUAAAUGAAAUCAGAAGGUAGCCGCUGGCAUAUUAAGUGGUUGGUAGUGGAGAUUGGAUAGUGGAAUUUAAAAACAGGAGGACCAGUUGCUGGUUAUGACAGGAUACAGAUCUUACUAUGGAGUGGGUUUUCAAAGUAUAGACAAAGUGAAGAUUAUUGGAUUGAGAUAAGGGGACUCUAAAGCUAGAUUGUUAGAGGAGUUAGCAAUACAGGCAGUGAGUUGCUCAGAAAAGUAGCAGAUCCAGGAGUGGGAAGGUUCUGAACCAAGUUGCAAAGUCAUAGUGAACAUAAGAGUGGCCAGGUCAGUAAAUAACAGAAACAAGGAGAGAGAAAUUAAGAGAUGACAUAAACUGAGGAGUAUUUGGGGAGUGGUAGUUUAUGCCUGUAAUUUCAGUGACUCCAGAGUCUGAGACAGGAUGAUCUUAAGUUUGAGGCCAACCUCAGCAACUUAGUGACACCAUGUCUCAAAACAGAACAAAACAAAAACCCUAAACUGGGGAUGUAGCUCAGUGGUAAAGUGCCCCUAGGGUCAACACUCAUUACAGAGAGUCAGAGUUGGGGGGGGGGGGGAGAGAACAUAAGCCUCAGUAGAGAUACUUUAAUGUGAGGGUAUCAAAUUGUGAUGAUAAAUAAAUGACUACUCAACUGUGAUGGUAAACAAAUAAUGACUUCUACAGGCUGCAUUUGUUGAGUGAAAGAGUAGUUGUCACUGAGGUUUUAGUUUAGACAAAAAGAUUUCCAGAGUGUUGGUGAAAUUAAUUCAGGAUUUAGGGUAUUUGUUUACAGUGUAACAGUUUAAAGGGCUAUCAGUGACUGUUAUUG